rnacentral:rRNA from 1 species
AGGGCACCACCAGGAGUGGAGCCUGCGGCUUAAUUUGACUCAACACGGGAAAACCCACCCGGCCCGGACACUGGAAGGAUUGACAGAUUGAGAGCUCUUUCUUGAUUCAGUGGGUGGUGGUGCAUGGCCGUUCUUAGUUGGUGGAGUGAUUUGUCUGGUUAAUUCCGAUAACGAACGAGACUCUAGCCUAUUAAAUAGAUCGUUGGCUUACAAACGCCGGCGAGACUUCUUAGGGGGACAGGCGGCGAUUCAGCCGCACGAAACAGAGCAAUAACAGGUCUGUGAUGCCCUUAGAUGUCCGGGGCCGCACGCGCGCUACACUGAAGUGAUCAGCGUGCAUUUUGAAAUCUACUCUGUCAAGAGUGGGGAACCCAAUGAACCUUCUUCGUGAUUGGGAUAGGGGAUUGUAAUUAUUCCCCUUGAACGAGGAAUUCCCAGUAAGCGCGAAUCAUAAGUUUGCGCUGAUUACGUCCCUGCCCUUUGUACACACCGCCCGUCGCUACUACCGAUUGAAUGUUU